rnacentral:tRNA from 1 species
UGGAGAAGUGGCUGAGUGGUUGAAAGCGGCACCCUGCUAAGGUGUUAUAGGGUUUAAACUCUAUCGAGGGUUCGAAUCCCUCCUUCUCCAA